CGAUGCAACGCGAAGAACCUUACCUAGGUUUGACAUAUACCGGAAAGCUGCAGAGAUGUAGCCCCCGCAAGGUCGGUAUACAGGUGGUGCAUGGCUGUCGUCAGCUCGUGUCGUGAGAUGUUGGGUUAAGUCCCGCAACGAGCGCAACCCUCGUUCUAUGUUGCCAGCACGUAAUGGUGGGGACUCAUAGGAGACUGCCGGGGUCAACUCGGAGGAAGGUGGGGAUGACGUCAAGUCAUCAUGCCCCUUAUGUCCAGGGCUUCACGCAUGCUACAAUGGCCGGUACAAAGGGCUGCGAAACCGCGAGGUGGAGCGAAUCCCAAAAAGCCGGUCUCAGUUCGGAUUGGGGUCUGCAACUCGACCCCAUGAAGUCGGAGUCGCUAGUAAUCGCAGAUCAGCAACGCUGCGGUGAAUACGUUCCCGGGCCUUGUACACACCGCCCGUCACACCAUGGGAGUUGGUUCUACCUUAAGUCGCUGCGGUAACCGCAAGGAGCUAGGCGACCACGGUAGGGUCAGUGACUGGGGUGAAGUCGUAACAAGGUAGCCGUAGCGGAAGCUGCGGCUGGAU
rnacentral:rRNA from 1 species